rnacentral:rRNA from 1 species
UCGAGCGCACUCUUUUAGAGUGAGCGGCAAACGGGUGAGUAACGCGUGGGAAUCUACCCAUCUCUACGGAAUAACACAGAGAAAUUUGUGCUAAUACCGUAUACGUCCUAUUGGAGAAAGAUUUAUCGGAGAUGGAUGAGCCCGCGUUGGAUUAGCUAGUUGGUGAGGUAACGGCUCACCAAGGCGACGAUCCAUAGCUGGUCUGAGAGGAUGAUCAGCCACACUGGGACUGAGACACGGCCCAGACUCCUACGGGAGGCAGCAGUGGGGAAUAUUGGACAAUGGGGGCAACCCUGAUCCAGCCAUGCCGCGUGAGUGAUGAA